GGCCUCAUGGCCAAAUGGCAAGGCGCUUGACUACGAGGAUAUAUGAAUAUUUCUAUUCUAAUUCCAGUUAUCAAGAGAUUCCAGGUUCGACCCCUGGUGAGGUCG